rnacentral:rRNA from 1 species
UUAAUAAAAUUGUUUGCUAAAAUUUUAUUUGUAUUUCAUAAUUAAUUUAAAAUGUAUUGGCGGUAUUAAGCUAGAUUCUGAGGAACUUGUUUAUUUAAAUUGAUAUAACACAUUAAAUUUUAUCUGUAAUUUAUUUUAUAUAUUGCUGUUUAGUUUAUUGUUUAACAUAAUUAAUAAAUUAAAAUGAUAUUUAGAUAAAGAAUUCAAGUCAAAAUGUAGAUUUUUAUAGGGAUAAUUGAGUUACAUUUAUAUUGGAAUAUGAUACUGAUAAAUUAAAUUGCAAUAUUAAUUUGAUGUUGGAUUAGGGAGUAAAAAAGAAAUAAUUAGUUUUUUUGAUAAAUUUUUGCUAAUAUGU